UCAUUUGGAAAGUUAUAUAGCCAAGGGAACAGAAAAUGUGUUGCUCCACUGCCAAAUUAUCACAUAUCCCUCGAUCAAAACGGGAGGUGAUCCUAAUCAACAAGUUGUGCGACCUUAGUGCAAUGACAAUGUCAGGUCAGCUCGGGAAAGUGAAGAGACAGAUCUAAAUACAAAUAAAAAGAAAGAGAGAGGCAGAAAGAAAGAAAGAAACAACCAACAAUCCUUAUAAUUAUCAUCAUCUGCUGCUUUUCCCUCUUCUGGCAAAGAAACACUCCAUCCAUUUGCAGAAAUCGCCUGCGGAAACGUUACAUCAAAACUAAUCACAACGAUUAAAAUCAGCUUUUCUGUGCAAGAGGAGAGUAAAAAGCAAGUUGGAGGCUGGAAUGAGACUGUUUUUUCCACCAAAAAAAUCCGAAAAAAAAUUACACGCGAUUUAUCUGUCUAUCUAUCUAUAUGCACGUUUCGAAGGAGAUCAAUUUUAUGCCCGUGUGAUCAGUUAAUUUAAUUUAACUUUUAUUUUGGAGAUUGAUUCAGACUGGAGGUAGAGACAUGAGCUAAUUGUAUCCUGAUCCUUGCCUUGAGGGGUUUCAAAGCCCUGGAGCAACUAUUCUCUGUAUUUUGCUCUGUCUACCUUAGCCAAGCUAUUGCAUUUCUCUCUGGUGUAGCGAGGAGAGCAGACCGCUGCCGGGAGAGAGAAAUAUCGGAAGUGUGAGUGGGGGGGGGAAAGGGGAGGAAAAAAAAGGAGGAAAAAAAAAAGAGGGAGAGAGACACUUUUGCGGCUCCGAUGUUUCAGGUCUCAGUUCUGCACUUACACCGUGAGGGAUACUUUUCUGUUUGAUUGCAAUGAGCCACAGCCAAAUAGACCUAUACUGCCAUGCUGAAGUCAACGACACCCUUUCUGGAGCGAUAGGAGCUGCACGCAGUAACACUCGUGGCCGUCGUGCUCUCCAGCCAUCCCCAUCAGGGCUCUGGUGGAGGGUGGCCCGGCUCCCGCCAUGCCGGAUGGGAGGGAAACUGCUGCACAAAAGAUGGAGUGGCCCAUCCAAAUUUGCCCAGGAGCAUCUGACUGAGUCAGGGAAGGCUUCCUAAAAGAAAAUGGAACCAAGGAGAAAUGGGAAUGAAGUCUCUGCAUUUUGAUAGUGAGAGGCACCCACUGCUGUAUUCAUUAUUUGUUUAGUGUAUUGAUACACACUUUUUUUAAAAGACAAGUAUUUAAUUAAUUACUGAGCUGGCUCUGCAGUUCCUCUACAGGAUGAAAACAAACACUUAAACAAGCCUCUCCUGCCAACCCCACCCAACACCUACUCAGUUACAACAGAUGGAUGAAUGCCACAGACCAGAUGUCAAAAUGAUACUGAAUUUGACAUUGCACAAGUAACUGUAGUACACUGCAGAAAAGAACCUCUCCCACAGUAGCAUUAUUUAAAUACCAGAUUACACUGAUCCAUUUUUGAAGUGAUGUGCAUGAGAUGAAGUUCCCACAGGAACCAGACAGAAAACCUGCUGAAGUUUUUCCAUCUCUUUUAAUGGUCUUGCCUAAAUCUCCUCUGUCCUCCAAGAAUGGGAAGAACUGCUGAAAAAGGAUGCAGAAAUAUCUGGCUGAAGUCCAAGAGGGAUGGAAUGACUGACUCUCAUCCUUGGAAUAGCUUUGAUUACACCUGGCUUUGUAGUGCGCAGCAAAUAAGGCAACCCAAGGAGCUCCUUAUCUCCCUUGGACACUGGCUCUGUAGGAUAGGUGACGUACUUCCCACUGAGAGAUCGUCUGUCCCUGAAAGAUGAUGACAUUCAGAUGUAGCAUGGAGGCACAUAUGUAUAUCAAGAGGUUAUAAAGCUUUAACAGUUACCUAGGUGGCAGUUUUAUCCAAAUAGUUUAUAUGACAUUGUACUGAUUGACUGCUUAAAGUGCGAACCAGGGUACACCUCUGAGCAAAUCCAAGGGCCUUGCAGGCUGGAUAGAUUGCCAGAAUUGCUGGACAUUCCAAGGAAAUUGGUCACUGUUCGUGUCUGUAGCAGGGGGUGAUGACCUGACCCAGGCUGAGCUCUCCUGGAGCUCUGAAGCAUCCAGAGUUGGUAGAGCAGAGCUCAGAUGAAAGAGGAGCCUUUGCAAGCCUGGCUUGAUUUCAUCCAAAGCAACAGCUUUUGGAAACCGAAACUUGUACAGUGGGAUUGGUACACUCCUCUGAGAGUUCUGCAACUGUUCCAGCUGUCCAGACAAGAACCAUGGGUAUAAGGCAGUGUCUGGCAUAAAAAAAAGCCUCUCAGUCCAAACUGAAACCUUUUGCUGGAAUUUAUCAGUUUUGAUGAAAUCUUGACUCGGAAAGGUUCUCAGUUAAACUGAGACUACAGAAAUAAUCUAGAAAUGCCAAAAGCCUGCUGACCGGGGCAACCACAGAGGACAACCUGAACUCCUAGAAACUGUAUGAGAGGUCCUUCCCUCAAUGUUGUGAGUGGUUUUCUUUUUGUCUUAAUGUGGAUUUGAAACCUCAAAAUUUCACAAAAAGGAAAUACUGUUUGCCACACAGAUAUAUUUGUAACUGUCACACUGUUCCCAUGCUGGAAGAAGCAUUUUGCAUAUGGGAAAUUAAGCCCAGGGAGAUCAAGGUCAAAACUGUCUACCAAUUUUAAGUACCCAGUUUGAGCUGCUGAGCGCCUAUUUUUUUCAGAAUACUUGGCAUUUUUGUAGCUUUAUGCCCCACUUGCAUACAAUGAGUGGUUAGCUUUUUUGCAGAAGAGAUCUCGGGUGGCUUGAGUCAGGUGCCCAUAGCAUAGAAAACAGGCUAUCAGUGCCGACUUUGGCUUGGUUUAAGUGACUAACCUAGUAUCUUAAUAUAAGAACUUUGUGGCAGUGACGGGGAUAGAAUCCAAGGAUGUGUCUUCAGCUCCAGGCAAAUCUUCAGACAAACUGUCAGCGUACAGAUGCCUAUUCAAUGAAUCCCAUCCAUCCUGGGCACAGAAUGAGGCAAAGGCCCUGUAGAAAAAAAAACCAGGAUGUGAUUAGGUCAUUAAGUGCAAAAGAAAAUGUGGCAGUAGAAGAAGCAGCACAGCAGUGCUGCCUUUAAUCUGACUGGCAGGGGUAACAGUUUUACUGUAGAUGUAGCAGCAUGGAAGAUGCCAGCAUUAGGUGGCUUGCAUUAACGUCACACCCUUAGUUUGCAGGGCAAACGGACCAUUUUCCCUUUGGUGCCCACAGACUCUCAACAACAUGAGAGAGUCAGGAUCCAUCCCCAGAUCUAAGCUGAAUCAUGUUCCUGAAGCUUUACCACAUUCUCUUUAUUUGCAGCAUGUGUGUAGAAUCCUACAAGGUAGGCAUGAUCUGAAACACCAAGGCACUACAUGUAAAAUAAUGGCUGGUUCUUGGCAGCAAAGCAGGAAUUGUACAAAUUUUUAAUAUUCUGUAAGACUUCUGGUUUUUGCCGGUAUGUAGUCUUAAAGAAAUAGCUGCUCUUUCAAAACUCUCAUACCAUAUCUGCAUAUCCUUGCAAUUUAUAGAAACCUUGGUAUUGAGAGGUAAAGCACAGGACUUAAUCUGUGUUAAUGAUUAACUGACUCCAGAAACAAUGGCAAGUGAAUGCAAAUUCUUUGUGGAUAUUGGACCUCGUUACUCUGUGUUCCCAUUGUAGUGGUGACCUCACCAUUUUGGCUUGUAAUAGCGUUCUCGCCCUGUCUAACGCUGUGGAAAUGGAGGUACCCGAGGUUUUUAAACAUGAAUAUUGAUUUCUCUGUGCUUUAGUAGAGUUUUUUCACAUACUUUUGUAAUGCAUGACGUUUGUAACAUAUAACACAUACAUGUUUGUAACAUGUCACUCUCAUUUUGUAAGAUGGAAGUCUCCAUAAUGUACAAGUAAACAAGUGAUGCCCAUUUAUAGCUGCACAGCACUUAGGCUGGUGCUGUUGUUCUCAUCAGAAA